rnacentral:rRNA from 1 species
GAUGAACGCUGGCGGCGUGCCUAACACAUGCAAGUCGAACGAAGCACUUAUCUUAGAUUCUUCGGAUGAAGAGAUAUUUGACUGAGUGGCGGACGGGUGAGUAACGCGUGGGUAACCUGCCUCAUACAGGGGGAUAACAGUUAGAAAUGACUGCUAAUACCGCAUAAGCGCACGAAGACGCAUGUUUUUGUGUGAAAAGCCGAGACGGUAUGAGAUGGACCCGCGUCUGAUUAGGUAGUUGGUGAGGUAACGGCCCACCAAGCCGACGAUCAGUAGCCGACCUGAGAGGGUGACCGGCCACAUUGGGACUGAGACACGGCCCAAACUCCUACGGGAGGCAGCAGUGGGGAAUAUUGCACAAUGGGGGAAACCCUGAUGCAGCGACGCCGCGUGAAGGAAGAAGUAUUUCGGUAUGUAAACUUCUAUCAGCAGGGAAGAAAAUGACGGUACCUGACUAAGAAGCCCCGGCUAA